AGAUUAAGUUAUUAAGGGCGCACGGUGGAUGCCUUGGCACUAGAAGCCGAUGAAGGACGUUACUAACGACGAUAUGCUUUGGGGAGCUGUAAGUAAGCUUUGAUCCAGAGAUUUCCGAAUGGGGAAACCCAGCAUGAGUUAUGUCAUGUUAUCGAUAUGUGAAUACAUAGCAUAUCAGAAGGCACACCCGGAGAACUGAAACAUCUUAGUACCCGGAGGAAGAGAAAGAAAAUUCGAUUCCCUUAGUAGCGGCGAGCGAAACGGGAAGAGCCCAAACCAACAAGCUUGCUUGUUGGGGUUGUAGGACACUCUAUACGGAGUUACAAAGGACGACAUUAGACGAAUCAUCUGGAAAGAUGAAUCAAAGAAGGUAAUAAUCCUGUAGUCGAAAAUGUUGUCUCUCUUGAGUGGAUCCUGAGUACGACGGAGCACGUGAAAUUCCGUCGGAAUCUGGGAGGACCAUCUCCUAAGGCUAAAUACUCUCUAGUGACCGAUAGUGAACCAGUACCGUGAGGGAAAGGUGAAAAGCACCCCGGAAGGGGAGUGAAAUAGAACCUGAAACCGUGUGCUUACAAGUAGUCAGAGCCCGUUAAUGGGUGAUGGCGUGCCUUUUGUAGAAUGAACCGGCGAGUUACGAUUUGAUGCAAGGUUAAGCAGUAAAUGUGGAGCCGUAGCGAAAGCGAGUCUGAAUAGGGCGUUUAGUAUUUGGUCGUAGACCCGAAACCAGGUGAUCUACCCUUGGUCAGGUUGAAGUUCAGGUAACACUGAAUGGAGGACCGAACCGACUUACGUUGAAAAGUGAGCGGAUGAACUGAGGGUAGCGGAGAAAUUCCAAUCGAACCUGGAGAUAGCUGGUUCUCUCCGAAAUAGCUUUAGGGCUAGCCUCAAGUGAUGAUUAUUGGAGGUAGAGCACUGUUUGGACGAGGGGCCCCUCUCGGGUUACCGAAUUCAGACAAACUCCGAAUGCCAAUUAAUUUAACUUGGGAGUCAGAACAUGGGUGAUAAGGUCCGUGUUCGAAAGGGAAACAGCCCAGACCACCAGCUAAGGUCCCAAAAUAUAUGUUAAGUGGAAAAGGAUGUGGCGUUGCCCAGACAACUAGGAUGUUGGCUUAGAAGCAGCCAUCAUUUAAAGAGUGCGUAAUAGCUCACUAGUCGAGUGACACUGCGCCGAAAAUGUACCGGGGCUAAACAUAUUACCGAAGCUGUGGAUUGUCCUUUGGACAAUGGUAGGAGAGCGUUCUAAGGGCGUUGAAGCAUGAUCGUAAGGACAUGUGGAGCGCUUAGAAGUGAGAAUGCCGGUGUGAGUAGCGAAAGACGGGUGAGAAUCCCGUCCACCGAUUGACUAAGGUUUCCAGAGGAAGGCUCGUCCGCUCUGGGUUAGUCGGGUCCUAAGCUGAGGCCGACAGGCGUAGGCGAUGGAUAACAGGUUGAUAUUCCUGUACCACCUAUAAUCGUUUUAAUCGAUGGGGGGACGCAGUAGGAUAGGCGAAGCGUGCGAUUGGAUUGCACGUCUAAGCAGUAAGGCUGAGUAUUAGGCAAAUCCGGUACUCGUUAAGGCUGAGCUGUGAUGGGGAGAAGACAUUGUGUCUUCGAGUCGUUGAUUUCACACUGCCGAGAAAAGCCUCUAGAUAGAAAAUAGGUGCCCGUACCGCAAACCGACACAGGUAGUCAAGAUGAGAAUUCUAAGGUGAGCGAGCGAACUCUCGUUAAGGAACUCGGCAAAAUGACCCCGUAACUUCGGGAGAAGGGG
rnacentral:rRNA from 1 species